rnacentral:sRNA from 3 species
AAAGCCACCCUACAGGGGGGAUGAGAACACCCGACCGGGGUUCGACUACUGGCGCAGCCAGUUGGACAGACGACGAGCCUGCGAGGAGACUGCCCGAAGGGCGAGCGCAGCGAGUCAAUCCCCCCUCACCGCCA